CAAUUGUAAAGGUUACCUGACAGAAUUCUGUGAGCUCCAUGGAAGCGAGUAUUUGAAAAUACUUAUGCACGUUUCCAUUCGAUGGUUGAGCCUGGAGAGGUGUUUGACUCGUACCCUGCAGCAGUAUGAACCACUGGCCAGCUACUUCAAGUCAUCAGAUGAGAAACAACCAAGGUUCAGGAGGCUGUUGGAAGCAUUCUCUAACUCAAUGACAGAGGUGUACCUGCUCUUCUAUCAAGCAACGUUGCCAGUCUUCU